AUGGCGCCCCUUCUCCUCGUGCUGCUGCUGCUCGUCCACCGCGCUGCCGCCGCCGACGAGAGACAGCUUCUCAUCCAGAUCAAGCGCGCGUGGAGCGACCCGCCGGUGCUCGCGGCAUGGAGCACUUCGGGCUCGGGGGACCACUGCGCCUGGCCCUACGUGACCUGCGACACAUCGUCCGGCCGCGUCACGAGCCUCUCCCUCGCCAACAUCAACAUCACCGCCCCGUUCCCGGAUGCCAUCGGUGGCCUCUACGGCCUCACCAGCCUCAACCUCUCAAACAACAACAUCACCGGCGCCUUCCCGACCAGCGUGUACCGUUGCGCUUCGCUGCGGCACCUCGAUUUGCGGAAUCUGGCUAUAUAUGCAAACAACCUCACGGGAGAGGUCGUCGAUGAUGGUCCUUUCGGCGCGGCGAAUUUGGUGAAGAUGGACCUGUCCGAGAAGCCUUCGGUCACUUGCCAAAGCUUGAAAGGUUGA
rnacentral:rRNA from 1 species